AUGAGCAACUUGUAUGUUAUUGACACCUUUGAAAACAGCAAGCGGCGGUCUCUUCAUGAGCAACUUGCAUGUUAUUGUUCUCUUGAAAAACAGCAAGCGGCAGUCUCUUCAUGGACAACUUGUAUGUUAUCAACACCUUUUGAAAAUGGCAAGUGGCGGUCUCUUCAUGAGCAGCUUGUACGAAAAAUGGCAAGUGGCAGCUUCUUCAUGAGCAGCUUGUACGUUAGUAUUUUUGGCAAGUGGCAGCUUCUUUAUGAGCAACUUGUGGGUUUUUGGCAACAAGUGGCGGACUCUUCAUGA